rnacentral:misc_RNA from 1 species
AACGCAAAUUGCGCUCUCGGGAUAGGCCUGAGAGCACGCCUCUUUGAGUAUCGAUUCCACCACCUCCAGAACAAACUGAUUAUUUUGAUUGGUUUUGACACUGGGAAUUUGAGUGUUUUCAUGUCUCUUUAGUGAGAUGUGUCACUUGAAGCGGAAUGGAAUUGAGGGUCUGCGAAACUGCUGUUGAAUGUCAGUUUGCUGAAGUAAACUUUGAACAUGGAUAAAUUUCCAAUGAUCAAUAAUCUUUGGCUUAUCUGAUAUCAGCGAAUACUAAGUUUUGCAAACAAAAAGCCCUCUCCUAACUCAUAUCUUAACAAAUCUAAGAACUAGAUCUCAAAUGAAGCGAGACAACCCGCUGAACUUAA